rnacentral:rRNA from 1 species
UACGAAGGGGGCUAGCGUUGUUCGGAAUUACUGGGCGUAAAGCGCGUGUAGGCGGGUCGUUAAGUGUCCGAGUGAAAUCCCACGGCUCAACCGUGGAACUGCCGGGCAUACUGGCGAUCUUGAGGCAUUCAGGGGCGAGCGGAACAAAUGGUGGAGCGGUGAAAUGCGUAGAUAUCAUUUGGAACGCCAAUGGUGAAAACAGCUCGCUGGGAAUGAUCUGACGCUGAGACGCGAAAGCCAGGGGAGCGAACGGG